rnacentral:rRNA from 1 species
CAGCCGCCGCGGUAACACGUAGGGUGCGAGCGUUAAUCGGAAUUACUGGGCGUAAAGCGUGCGCAGGCGGUUUUGUAAGACAGGCGUGAAAUCCCCGGGCUCAACCUGGGAAUGGCGCUUGUGACUGCAAAGCUAGAGUGCGGCAGAGGGGGAUGGAAUUCCGCGUGUAGCAGUGAAAUGCGUAGAUAUGCGGAGGAACACCGAUGGCGAAGGCAAUCCCCCGGGCCUGCACUGACGCUCAUGCACGAAAGCGUGGGGAGCAAACAGGAUUAGAUACCCCCGUAGUCCCUGUCUCUUAUAC